UAGCUCAGUGGCAGAGCAUGUGCUCAGCAUGCACGAGGUCCUGGGUUCAAUCCCCAG
rnacentral:tRNA from 1 species